ACAUCCAGAGAAUUUAGCAGAGAUGCUUUAGUGACCUUCGGGAACUCUGAGACAGGUGCUGCAUGGCUGUCGUCAGCUCGUGUUGUGAAAUGUUGGGUUAAGUCCCGNAACGAGCGCAACCCUUAUCCUUUGUUGCCAGCACGUAAUGGUGGGAACUCAAAGGAGACUGCCGGUGAUAAACCGGAGGAAGGUGGGGAUGACGUCAAGUCAUCAUGGCCCUUACGAGUAGGGCUACACACGUGCUACAAUGGCGCAUACAAAGAGAAGCGACCUCGCGAGAGCAAGCGGACCUCAUAAAGUGCGUCGUAGUCCGGAUUGGAGUCUGCAACUCGACUCCAUGAAGUCGGAAUCGCUAGUAAUUGUAAAUCAGAAUGUUACGGUGAAUACGUUCCCGGGCCUUGUACACACCGCCCGUCACACCAUGGGAGUGGGUUGCAAAAGAAGUAGAUAGCUUAACCUUCGGGAGGGCGUUUACCACUUUGUGAUUCAUGACUGGGGUGAAGUCGUAACAAGGUAAGCGUAGUGCU
rnacentral:rRNA from 1 species